GGGCUUGUGAUAAUAAAUCAAGAUUAUCUUAGCGGAUUUUAGUAAGGUUCGUCGUCAAUGAUUUGAUUGUUACACACAUUGAAGCCC